GACGAACGCUGGCGGCGUGCUUAACACAUGCAAGUCGAACGGAAAGGCCCUGCUUUUGUGGGGUGCUCGAGUGGCGAACGGGUGAGUAACACGUGAGUAACCUGCCCUUGACUUUGGGAUAACUUCAGGAAACUGGGGCUAAUACCGGAUAGGAGCUCCUGCUGCAUGGUGGGGGUUGGAAAGUUUCGGCGGUUGGGGAUGGACUCGCGGCUUAUCAGCUUGUUGGUGGGGUAGUGGCUUACCAAGGCUUUGACGGGUAGCCGGCCUGAGAGGGUGACCGGCCACAUUGGGACUGAGAUACGGCCCAGGCUCCUACGGGAGGGAGGAGGGGGGAAUAUUGCAACAUGGGCGGAAGCCUGAUGCAGCAACGCCGCGGGCGGGAUGACGGCCUUCGGGUUGUAAACCGCUUUCGCCUGUGACGAAGCGGGAGUGACGGUAAUGGGUAAAGAAGCACCGGCUAACUACGGG
rnacentral:rRNA from 1 species